AGGAGACAGAAGCUGCAGCCCCAUGUGUCUGCAGUGAACACCCACAACUCCCACUGGGGAAUUCACUCCGAACUUAGCGGAAGAUGCUCCUCUGGCUGCAUGUUGCUCUCAUGGCGGCACUUCCGCAAGGGGCCCAUUCGCAGGGUCAGCUGGUGGAGUCUGGAGGAGACGGGAAAAUGGCAGGAGAUUCUAUCAACAUCUCGUGUAAAGCCUCCGGGUUCACCUUCGGUGAUUACUGGAUGCACUGGUACCGACAGGGUCCCGGGAAAGCACCCGAGUGGGUGUCCGGCAUUAGCUAUUGGGCCGGAACCGACAAGAGAUACGCUGAGUCCGUGAAAGGGCGAUUCACCAUCUCCAGAGACAACCCCAAUAACCUGCUGUAUCUGCAAAUGACCGGCCUGAGACUCGAGGACGCAGCGGUGUAUUACUGUCAUAGAGACACAGUGACUGGCAGGAAAUCUAACCAUGUACAAAAACAUCCCCUUUGCCGGCAUUGCCCAGGGGAAGGGUCAGACAGAUACAGAAUUGAAUCAAGGAGAAAAAAUCCCCAGCCCUGUAGUCAUCACGCAGGAAACUAUAAUUUUUGGAGCCCGGUGAAGGCUGCAAAGACACGCUAAGGCUGAGGCACAUUAGGAAAGCUGCAGCUCCUGCUCCUAUCCCUUCCAGCUUCCACAGCAAAUGAGGAUCCUACAGACAACAGUGCCCUUCAUUGCCCGGUCCCACCUCAUUCCCCAGCGGGUCCCUUCUGUGCACUGUCUGAGGCAGGGGUCCGCUGGAAAAAAUAGUGCGUGGAGUCUUGUGUCAUUACCGACAAGGGGGCAGAAUUACGAUUCCAUGCACAACCUUAGCUCUGGGAUCUCCUAUCUUUUGAGGGCUUGACUUUGCCAC